rnacentral:lncRNA from 1 species
ACCAGGCGCAGCCUCAAGGCGGAGGCCAAGGGCGAGUGGCUCCCCGGCCUUCCCUCCCCCGCCUACCUCGACGGCAGGUCAGUGUUUCUUUUUCUCUAAUAAUAACUCUGGCCAUGGCCGCCGCAGCGACGGCCGGCAGCCUGACUGACUGGCCUGACUGACAUGGCCACCGCGCGCGCGCAGCCUGCCGGGUGACAAUGGCUUCGACCCGUUGGGCCUGGCGGAGGACCCCGAGAACCUGCGGUGGUUCGUGCAGGCGGAGCUGGUGAACGGGCGGUGGGCGAUGCUCGGCGUGGCCGGGAUGCUGAUCCCGGAGGUGCUGACCAAGGCCGGGCUCAUCAACGCGCCGCAGUGGUACGACGCCGGCAAGUCGGAGUACUUCGCGUCGUCGUCGACGCUGUUCGUGAUCGAGUUCAUCCUGUUCCACUACGUGGAGAUCCGGCGGUGGCAGGACAUCAAGAACCCCGGCAGCGUCAACCAGGACCCCAUCUUCAAGAGCUACAGCCUGCCGCCGCACGAGUGCGGCUACCCCGGCAGCGUCUUCAACCCGCUCAACUUCGCGCCCACGCUCGAGGCCAAGGAGAAGGAGCUCGCCAACGGUGAGCACCACUACCAUCGAUACCUCCGCACGGUCGCCGGCCACUUCCGAUGAUCCUUCCCUCUGACGACGACUAAUCAUAUGCAUCCGGUUAUUAAUUGUUAAUUCUGCGUGCAGGGAGGCUGGCGAUGCUGGCGUUCCUGGGCUUCCUGAUCCAGCACAACGUCACCGGCAAGGGGCCCUUCGACAACCUGCUGCAGCACCUGUCUGACCCAUGGCACAACACCAUCAUCCAGACCCUCUCUUAGUCGAUGAUAUAUAUCCAGGUCAUGUAAAAUGUGAUCCAUCGCUAGCGAGCUGAUGGGGACUGGAAGGCAAACAUUGAAGCGCGGUCGUCGAUGUUAAUUCCUUUCUGGAUCAGUUUGUGUGAUGUGUGUUGUUAAUCGAUCUGGAGGGUAUAGAUUCGGACCGGGUUUGUUGUAACUUGUAAUGCAUGGUAUGAAGAGAGAGAGGGCUGAGGAGUGACACUGCUGGUAUGUACAUUAAUCCAAGGGGAGGGCUAAGGGUAAGAUUGUUUGAUCAGUAUCCUCAUCGAUCUAUCCCGAUGGGGUUCCUCUUGUGCUUA